AAGAGAAGAAGAAAAAAAUUGAAAGAAGGAAAUGCCAAAUAUCGUGAACUCACAUACUCGCGCGACAAUUAAUGUUUUUUCUAUAUGUGAAAGGUGCACUGGACUCGUCUUGGUGGCUUAAACAAGACGAAUAAUAAUAAUUUUUCAGAUCUACAAUUGUCUAUAUGGUGCUAUAAAAUUGAUGAGAAGCAAGAAUAUGGUAAACUAAUGACAACCAAUCAGAAAUUGCUCAAAAAAUAAAUCGGAUCAAAACAUCAAACCAUCUAAUGUGUCUAAAACAUACGAUAAAGGAUCAAAGUUACAAACACAAAAAUAUAGAAGUAUAUAAAAUAGCAGAAAAUCUUUCUUUACCUCCCUAAGCAGCAGCACUACCCUAUUCUGCAGCAGCUUCAAAUGUCUGCCCAACCACAAGCUCCGGGACAUCAUCAUCAUCAUCCUCCAGUGUUGUGGUUACUGUAGCACCUGUGUUCCACACCUACUUCUGGAUCUGCUCUGCCAACUUAUUCAGGUUGUCCAAAUUAUCAGGGCCCAAAUGGCUAAGAACUUGAGGAGAAUAUCCUUCAAUUUCUUAGUCUGUGGAGAUCCACUAAAAACCCAUGGCAACAAUGGAUGCUUGAAAUUUUUACAAACUUCAUUGUACUCUUCGGUCUUCCUGGGUGACAGAGGUUUUCUACCAGGCCUACCUCCCUGGCACUUAACACCACAACACCUCUUCCAUAGGUCUUUUGAGAUAGCAUCAUAAACUGAGACCAUACAAUUGCAAAUUCACUUUCCCAAAAUUUCUUUGAGAAGGAACUUGUAAAAAACUCAAUGGCUUCAAAUUCUUCACCAGUACUGGAGGGCUUGGGAAGGCUGACAUUAAAGAGAUUUUGGAGCAUGCUGCAGAUAAAUAUAAUAAAUUACAAAAGAAAGUUUAAUGAAGUGAAAAAGACAGGCCUCUAAAUCAGUAAAUAAAAUUGAUUACAUGACAGCAUACACAUUUGAUCUUGUGAAAGCAGUCCACAGAACUGCAGGAAAUAUGGGUAAUAACUCUUUGAAACAGGUUAUCAAAAUAACAAUUGUACUCCCAGAUUAAUAUCAUUAUUACCCAUCGUAUAAGUUGCAAUAUGAAUGUACCGUAUCCUCUGUGACAAUUCUUAAUGGGUUGUUUAGUUCUAUUGCCAAGCCUAAUUAUCAUGAUAUUCAUUGAAAUAUUAUGGCAUUUAAAAACAUCAUAAAAGACUACCAAUUAUUAUUGGAUGGAGGGCCAGCCAAAACUGCAUUAGCUUUUCGACUAAGCCAACUGGCUGGGAUGCCCAAGCUUUGGAUUCUUGAACCAGAAAUAGAUACUAGGGCAUGGAUUGAGGGCAGCAGCAUACCAGUAGGCAUUGCCUGAGAAUAAGCCACCAUGCCACAUACACCUGAAGAAUUCUCAACUAAGACACCCUAGGGGAACAGGAAGCAGCCCCAGGAGGAAUGGCUUGAGAUUGUCUGUCUCAUCGACCAACAUUGUCGAGAAGGUAAGUAAUACUAAUUUAUACUAGCAUUUGGAACUCGCAGCCCUCUAAAGCCAAGAUUUGGAGAAGCUGUUAGUGAAAAAUUCACCCAUUUGUGGGGCGGAAGCAGAGCUAUUGAAUUUUUGAGCUGCACAGCAGCAGUUUAAGGAUUAAUUUUUGGUGCUGGAAUUUUGGCUGCAGCUGGGCCAUAUAAUGCUGCCUUGGCAUUGCCUGGUGUCAAUUCUGUUUUACUCUAGGCUAAAGCUACAAAUAUAAGAUUCUGCACCAAAAAAACAAUGUGACUCUGAUCAGCAUGCAUCCAUGUCAGCAGUCAUUUAGGGAAGAGGAGCAGGGGAAAAACUGAUUAGCAUGCACCCAUAUCAUGACUUACUACACUCAAUUCUUUCUUCUAAGUAAAUGAGAAACAUGAUUGGAAAGAAUAUGCAAUAUAACACACAAGUGUAGCCCUCCUAUCCUCCUCUUCUAGCACUUGGGCUACCACAGCAAUGUCCAAAAAAACAGCCAAAAGGCCUAAUUGUCUACAGAAGCUAGCUUAAAAAGCCAACAACAGAAAACAGAACAGUCAAAAAACUCCCCAUUCAUUAAACUUGGUAACUUGAUCACCAUUAGCAUUACAUAUGCAUGAACAAAGAAGCUUUAAUCAGAACAUAGGCUAUCAAAAGCCAAUCAGAACAUUAUAAAUGAAAAACUUUAGCAUCAUCUAACAAGGAAAAACUAGACAAUUAGCCUUCUACAUAGCAUAAUUAAUAAAGUGCUUGGGCCUUUAAACUUUCAUAACCUUGAAGCUCCUCAAAGAACUUAGCAUUGAAAGGAAGUACAACCACCAAUAAAUUAAUUUUUAGAGUUAAUUUAUCUUAAAGUAAACAUUUCAGAUUUAGGCAUCUGAUUGCCAAUGGUAAUUUUCAGAAGAUGCAUAUUUGAUCUGAUUGACUAUUUAGAUAAAAAUUUAGACUAACUUGCGGUAGCAUGUAGAAUAGUCAUAGAAAUGCACAAAAAAGGAACAUGUUUGCACUUGCCAUUGAUGAAUAGUUCAAAAGUGCCAGCCUUUAGCACGCCAAAAUCUCUGAGCAUUUUCAUCUCGACGAGCAUCUUUGAUCUUCAAAAAGAGCUUGUAAGCUUUCUCUACUUUACUUGAAGCAAGUAGUUUGUUAUUUAGUUUGCUACAUAUGAGUCUGCUUGGGCAAAAGCCCUUGCUUAAAGAUUCCUCCAUAACAAGUACAGCAUUUUCAAGCUGCCCUAUGUUGCAAAGUCCAUUAAUGACAUACUCAUAAACUUCCACAUCAGAUGAAUAACCACUUUCUUGCAUCUCAUCCCAUAUAUUUAACAGCAUUCCACAUUUACCAAAUCUAGAAAGCCGCAUCAGCAAUAGCUUAUAGGCAGUGAGUGAUAUUUUACAACCAGCCUUUCUUGCCUUCUUGUAGAUCAUCAUUGCGGCAUGUGGUGGACCAAAGCUGCAUAGAGGUUCAAUGAAAGAAGUUAUUGUCGUUGUUGGAGGAACAAUCCUUCGACCUAACAUCUCAUCGAACAUUUCAAGUGCAUCAGCCACUCUUCGGGCUUUGAUAAAAGCAGAAAUCAAUUUGGCAUAAGUAUCAACAUUUGGAUCACAAUUAUCACUCAACAUACACCUAUAAUGCUUCAUACACUCAUCAAGAUCUCCAACUGAAAUAAAAUUAAAAAUCAUAGCAUUGUAAACACCAGUGUCUAGCACAAAAUCUUUCUCCCUCAAAUUGUCAAAAAUUUUAACAGCUUCUUUAAUCCUCCCAGCUCUUCCUAAACCCUCAAUAAGGCAACAACAAGUUGAACAAUCAGGAGCAAAACCAUCUUGAACCAUUGCCUCAAAAAUCCUCUCCAUCUCAAUAACCCGUCCAAAUUUUGACCACCCACCAAUAAUAAUAUUAUAUGUUGUACUAUUAAAUGAUAUUUUACCUUUCACUGAAUUGAAAUAUGAAUUUGCAACACCCACAUGUGACCUCCUGCACAGACACUGCAGAAGCACAUUCAAUGACUCAGCGUUACAUUCAAACCCAAACUCUUCUGAGUUUCCAAACACCUGAAUUGCUUUGCACACACGUCGAGCUCUGAAUAAGCUAUCCAUAACAAUUGAUAAGGUCUCCAAAUUAACUUUUAUACCUUCUGCGCUCAAUUCUUUCAAAAUUUUCAGCAUAAAAUCAAAAAAUUUCCUUCUGCCUAGUGCCUUGAUGAUUAUAUUGUAACUAUGAAUGUCCUUAGGUAUUAUUGGUUGUUUCAUAGCCCAAUUAAAGAACAUAACCAUUGCUUCAGCUCCUAAGUUCCCUCUGUUCAGUACUUUAACAACAACAUCUAGACUCAAAUUCACACCAGUAUCGGAUAGGGCACUUUCAAUUGCUGAUUUUCCCUUCAAUUUCUGAAGAAAUACUCCUCUCAACUUCUCUUCAGGCAAUAAAAACCUAUCAGUAACAACUCUUAUUUCUCCGAGCUUAUUUAGCUGUUGGUGUUUAUAUGGAUGGGGGAUUGCGGUGCUAGGAUCUCUUGGUAACAAAUUAGAGAGUUCAUCAAGAACAUAACGUUCUUUGAGAUUAACUUGGUCUUUGAGCUGAUUCACCAAUGGUUCAGCAUCUAAAGUGUUUAGUUGAGUAUCUAUGGUUGAAAAUGGAAACAAUGAAAUUGAUGAACAAAAGUAUAGGCACCUGCUUUUGUUCAAGUGUGCACGAAAACUCAAAAAGUGCUGGGAACGAAAUGCCAUGGAAGGAGUAUAAAACUUUAGGCGAUCAUUUAUUUCUCAUGACCAAGGUGGCUAUAUGCAAUCAAUAACUAAAUACUAUUUCAUGCAGCUCAUCCUACCACAUCACGAGCUUCAAAAUGAGAUGGUACAACAACUAGAAAUUAACGGAACCAAUUGAGACACACACCUUUUUCACCCACAAAAUGCCAACUUUUUAUGGGAGACAGAAUACUUGGUCAACCCAAUGAAAUUCAUGUAUAUCAUUGAUCAUUUUCCAAAGCCAUAUCCGUGGUUCACUACAAUAUUUGGUAGCAGGAAAGACCUUCCAGAAGGGGAACUGACAUUUGCAUUGGAAAUGUAUUUCCUACAAAAGCCUUCUAACUCCAGAGAUUUAAUCGUGCCUCUAUGUCUGAAAGCGGAGUAGCAGUGAAUAACUGUAGUUGGGUAUGAACUGAGAUGUUGGGAGCGUCGACUGUUGAGGUGUGACUUGUCGUGGAUCUUCUCUGCGUCUGUGAUGAACUGCUGACAAAGUGUGGAGUAAAAGCAUACAAGGAAGAUGUAGACUGAGAUGAUUUUGGCCGGAUGGUGAGACCGCGCAUUUAAGGAGAAGCAAAGAUUAGAUGAAGAUUAUGGAGCUGGGUAUAAUGGAAGUAUUUGUUGGUCUUUGACAGAGUGAGCUCGUUAGGGUGUUAUUCCGUCGGGAUGGAGCUUCGAUGGUGGCAAGGGUUUAAGUCUCCUUGUGUUACUGCUGGUCGACGUGGCUCCAGAGGGAAGAGAAGGUGAUGUGAGGGAACAAAAAAGGGCGUGUGUGCUCGCGUUGCGUUUUGGAGAAGGUCAUUUUGUGAUGUAUACCAUAGGAGUGAUGUUGAGUGUGAGGGCGAUGUGGUUUUGUGAGUGGAUCGGAGAGAUUUUUCUUUUUCCCAAAUUGUUUGUCUCGUGCGCUAAAGUUUCCCCUGCUCAUCCGCCAUGAACACUGUAAAGGAUGGC
rnacentral:misc_RNA from 1 species